GAAGGUGGCCAUAUAGCACCUGAAUGCACCUGAUCUUGUCUGAUCUCAGAAGCUAAGAAGGGUCAACCCUGGUUAGUACUUGGAUGGGAGAGAGAGUAGCCAUUACUAAUGCUGCUAUCU
rfam:Heterocephalus glaber contig214459, whole genome shotgun sequence.